rnacentral:rRNA from 1 species
UACGAAGGGAGCUAGCGUUGUUCGGAAUUACUGGGCGUAAAGGGCGUGUAGGCGGUACCAUAAGUCAGAUGUGAAAGCCCUAGGCUUAACCUAGGAGGUGCAUUUGAUACUGUGGAACUAGAGAUCGAGAGAGGAAAGUGGAAUUACGAGUGUAGAGGUGAAAUUCGUAGAUAUUCGUAAGAACACCAGUGGCGAAGGCGACUUUCUGGCUCGAUACUGACGCUAAGGCGCGAAAGCGUGGGGAGCAAACAGG